GUAGUCUGCAACUCGACUACAUGAAGCUGGAAUCGCUAGUAAUCNCGAAUCAGAAUGUCGCGGUGAAUACGUUCCCGGGUCUUGUACACACCGCCCGUCACACCAUGGGAGUCGGAUAUGCCCGAAGUCAGUGACCCAACCAUAUGGAGGGAGCUGCCGAAGGUGGAGCCGAUAACUGGGGUGAAGUCGUAACAAGGUAAC
rnacentral:rRNA from 1 species